GUAUGCUGGGUCGGAAGGUUGCCAUGACAACCCUGACACUGUACUGUUUAGUUCGGAAGUACUGGGAUAACAGUAUUGUAUCGACAUUACAUUAGGCUAAUAUUGAAAUGAUAACGCCUAAAUGACACGACAUAGUGUUGGUCAUUACUUUUGGUAUCAGUUUGACGGGGAAAAAAAACCCAAAUUAAAACAAGCAUGCUGAUGAAGGAUCUGGCAACCGCGGGGAUGUGGGCGUGGCUUUGUUGCUCUGAGGUUUCAUCCCACCGCGCCUGUGAUUGUGUUCCACUCAAGCGGAAUUUGCCUCAGCAGGCUGUCUGAUUAUAUCUGAUUAUUGACAUGAUUAGACAUUCCUGCUUAAUUUGAUGCACUGUUAAUUUUUGAUAGUCGUUUGGACCUCCUUGGUCACUCCAGCCAGAUUUGACUUGCAGGUGAGACAGGAAGGACAACAACUAGAGACGAGUGCUGUAUAUAUUUUCACCAGAUGCGUAUGUAGAUUUAAAAAAAAAAAAAAAAAAAAAAAAAAAAAAAAAGCAUGGGAGUUAAAGUGUGUGCAAGAACUCGAGAGGACCAGAGGCAGUGUUGCCAGGUUUAUCAAGGAGAUAAAAUGAAGCAAUGGGCAUGAGUAGUUGAGAAAUAGACACAAAGGACAUGGAUGGAAUGACUCGCUUAUAUUGCUUCUAGCAUGGACCUGGGAUCCCCCUGUUUCCUGGCCAGCAUCCUGUUACAAGCAUUUGUUCUCCCGAGCUGCCUCAGUGUUUCGGUUCGUUUCCCGAGCCAGCAGACCGUCUACGUGGUGACUGGGCAGAAUUUGGUCCUGCAGGCUGAGAUCGAGUUGUCCCAGGGGGAUCACGUCGCCAAGGUCACAUGGGAGCGUGAAGUCGAGGGAAAAAGGAAUUCUGGGAAAAGCGUGGUGGCUGAAUAUCCUGCUAAAAGCUCAGAAGGCCGGGUGAUCGUCGAGAAGGGCGGGUCUGUGAUGACGUUACGGGACUACCAGGGAACGGACAACGGCGUGUACACGGUCACCGUCCGAGACCAGAAAGGAGGUCAGAGUUCGGCACGCUGCACCGUCCACGAGUACGAGGCCGUGCACCAUGUGUCAGUGAUGGUGAACGUGUCGCACUCCAGCCUGCACUGCAUGGAAGCCUGGGGGACGGAGCCCGUCUUCCGUUGGCUCCACGAGAAAGUCGCGGUGACGGAGGCCGUGGGCCGCGUGUCAGCGGACGGCAGCUCUCUGUACCUGAACACGGCGCUGUGUGGCCACUUCACCUGCAUGGUGAGCAACAAGCUGGGCCACAGCUCGGCUACCUACACGGCAGAACCUUGUGAGAGAGAGAGCAGAGGAACCGCUGUAGCGGUUGUAUGUCUCGUGCUCUUGCUGCUCGUGGCUGGAGGUUUGACCUUCCUGCUCUGGAGGAAACGCACGAGUUACAGUAAUAGACGAGAGAGACUCCGGGAACCAGAUGAGGACAUUUAACCUCCACACUCAAGUCUGUGUGUCAGACUGAAACAUAAAUGGAAGAGACAAGAACUUAAGAUUGUUGCCUCUUCUCCAAGCACUUGGAUCAUUGCAAAACAUUCCAGAUAUGCUACCAGGGUUUUACUGGCUUUCAGUUACAGUCGGACAAGCCAAGGAGCGAAGAUCUCUCUUCCUUUUUUUUUUUUUUUUUUUUUUUUUAAAAAGGACCUUUACGAAGAAAAGAAAGCUGACGGUUUUGCAACUGUUUAAAUCUUCAGAAUAAGGAACAGCUUACUGUUAUUUCAUGUUUUUUUUUGUUUAGCUUGUUAUUAGUUGUGUUCGCAGUUCAUGUUAAGUUCUGUACAUGUACUGCAAUAAAAAAAGAGAAGACUUUUAAGGUA
ensembl:lncRNA